rnacentral:rRNA from 1 species
AUAGCCGACCUGAGAGGGUGAUCGGCCACACUGGAACUGAGACACGGUCCAGACUCCUACGGGAGGCAGCAGUAGGGAAUCUUCCGCAAUGGGCGAAAGCCUGACGGAGCAGCGCCGCGUGAGUGAUGAAGGUCUUCGGAUCGUAAAACUCUGUUAUUAGGGAAGAACAUAUGUGUAAGUAACUGUGCACAUCUUGACGGUACCUAAUCAGAAAGCCACGGCUAACUACGUGCCAGCAGCCGCGGUAAUACGUAGGUGGCAAGCGUUAUCCGGAAUUAUUGGGCGUAAAGCGCGCGUAGGCGGUUUUUUAAGUCUGAUGUGAAAGCCCACGGCUCAACCGUGGAGGGUCAUUGGAAACUGGAAAACUUGAGUGCAGAAGAGGAAAGUGGAAUUCCAUGUGUAGCGGUGAAAUGCGCAGAGAUAUGGA